CAAAGGGAACCACGAGCACAAGAGAGAGAUGGAGUGGUUUGAUUUUUGCUGGCCAUAAAGAAAACUCACUCUCUUCCUGCGAAGAAGAAGACGGUGAUGCUCAUCAGAGACAAUCCUGAACCGUCUGUUCCUCCGUUCGAUUUUUAAGUUGUUCGGUCAAAAUUGUUGCCAAUUUCGGUUUAGUUGGUUUACUUAAGUUUUUUUUUUUUUUUUUUUUUUUUUUGCUUACUUAUGGUGCUGUUUGUUUUCUUUCGCAUUAAGGGUAUUGUGACUUUUGGGUGGGUGAUGACGAUCAAUUGUCUUUUAAUUGGAUUUAAUUUGAUUUGGGGGUGAAAACCGGUCCAAAGCAAAUCUUUUUUGUUUUGGAGUCAAAUCCAGAGCAAAUAAAUCAAUUUAGGAUAAUAAAUCAAUCUAUAUUAAUAAGGCGUGCUGAGGAAUUAUGAUGGUCGGUCCUCCUCGAGUACAUUACAUAGCAGGGCUAACUUAGCGAAAGGGACUAGGGUUCUAGGGUUUGCGAAAGCAUGGAUAGGAUCAGCAUCCUACCAGACGAGAUAAUUUGCCACAUCGGGUCCUUCUUGUCGGCGAAAGAGGCGGCGCGGCGUUCACGGCACUUCUCUCGAAGAGGUGGAGGAAUCUGUUUGAAAGCCUGUUCCAUUUAUCAAUCCCAGCUGAACGAAGCAUAUGUUGGAACGGUUUGCAAGUUCUCCUAAAGAAAUCUCCAAAAUUUUAAGGCUCUCACCAUCAAGGGAAGUGUGCACGAUAAGGAUGAUGAUCGUGUGGAUGAGGAGGAAUCUGUUUGCGAAUGCUUGAAAGGGUAUACUUUCCUAUCGCCCUGCUAUAUUGAGGUCAUAAAGAUAAGAGAGUGUAAAGGAGAUAGAGGAGAGAUGGUGCAAAUAAAGCACAUGCUGGAGAAAUUGCCGUGUCUUGAACUUUUGGAAAUUCAUCUUAAGCCAGGCAGAGAUGAGACAAAGCUUCAGAUUAUGACGGAUCUCCUAACGAGUCGGAGAAGUUCGUCCAAGUCCAAAUACACAGUUAAGCUGGUGUCGUUUAAGGUGGUGUUACAUUGAACAACAUCUUAACAUGAACUGGCAUAUCUGAAUAGAGAAGAAACAAAGGUGCAAUUAGUACUUUGCUUCCCGUUUGUUGUUGACAUAUGAUAAUUGGUUUGGUUUUGUGUCUUUCUUUCCCCAUAUCUGAGACUGAGAGACUCUGUUCUGAAUCGAACACAACGUAUCGUUUUUAUUCA